GAAUGAGAGAAAUUAUGGCAAAGAAGUUUUUAUUCUUCCUGUCCCCCUGGACCUGUCAUAGUAACCCAUGCCAGAGCAAACUGUGUCCCCAAACCAUUGCCUGGCCUCUGUGCCCGUAGCCUGCUGGCACUGAAGUGGGUUGCACAGUG
rnacentral:snoRNA from 1 species